CCUACGGGUGGCAGCAGUGAGGAAUAUUGGUCAAUGGGCGCGAGCCUGAACCAGCCAAGUAGCGUGAAGGAUGAAUGCCCUACGGGUUGUAAACUUCUUUUAUAAAGGAAUAAAGUGAGGCACGUGUGCCUUAUUGUCUUGACUUUAUGAAUAAGGAUCGGCUAACUCCGUGCCAGCAGCCGCGGUAAUACGGAGGAUCCGAGCGUUAUCCGGAUUUAGUGGGUUUAAAGGGAGCGUAGAUGGGUUGUUAAGUCAGUUGUGAAAGUUUGCGGCUCAACCGUGGAAUUGCAAUUGAUACUGGCAGGCUUGAGUACAGUAGAGGUAGGCGGAAUUCGUGGUGUAGCGGUGAAAUGCGUAGAUAUCACGAGGAACGCCGAUGGCGAAGGCAGCUUACUAGACUGGCACUGACAUUGAUGCACGAAAGCGUGGGGAGCAAACAGGAUUAGAUACCCCAGUAGUC
rnacentral:rRNA from 1 species